UACGUAGGUGUCGAGCGUUGUCCGGAUUUAUUGGGCGUAAAGAGCCCGCAGGCGGCUUGGCAAGUUUGAGGUGAAAUCUCCCGGCUUAACUGGGAGGGGGCCUCGAAAACUGCCAGGCUUGAGGCAUGGAGAGGGAUGCGGAAUUCCCGGUGUAGUGGUGAAAUGCGUAGAUAUCGGGAGGAACACCAGUGGCGAAGGCGGCUCUCUGGACCGAGACUGACGCUGAGGCGCGAAAGCGUGGGGAGCAAACAGG
rnacentral:rRNA from 1 species